CAGGGAAUCUUCCACAAUGGGCGAAAGCCUGAUGGAGCAACGCCGCGUGUGUGAUGAAGGGUUUCGGCUCGUAAAACACUGUUGUAAGAGAAGAAUGACAUUGAGAGUAACUGUUCAAUGUGUGACGGUAUCUUACCAGAAAGGAACGGCUAAAUACGUGCAAG
rnacentral:rRNA from 1 species